GAAAACUUCUGUGACCAUAUAUAUGAGGCUUUUUCUGACCAACAAGAAAGAAAUCAAUUCUGUAGCAGAUACUAGCAAGAUCUUAACUUUGCAACUUUGGAGCACUGACCCCAUUCCUUUGGAGUAUUUGCUACCUGAAUGGCUAUUCUCAGAUUUGCACUUGAAUAAAUUCUUCUAAGCUGGA